UGGGGAAUUUUGGACAAUGGGCGCAAGCCUGAUCCAGCCAUGCCGCGUGCAGGAUGAAGGCCUUCGGGUUGUAAACUGCUUUUGUACGGAACGAAAAGACUCUGGUUAAUACCUGGGGUCCAUGACGGUACCGUAAGAAUAAGCACCGGCUAACUACGUGCCAGCAGCCGCGGUAAUACGUAGGGUGCGAGCGUUAAUCGGAAUUACUGGGCGUAAAGCGUGCGCAGGCGGUUAUGUAAGACAGAUGUGAAAUCCCCGGGCUCAACCUGGGACCUGCAUUUGUGACUGAGUAGAUAGAGUACGGCAGAGGGGGGUGGAAAUCCGAGUGUAGCAGUGAAAGGCGUAGAUAUGCGGAGGAACACCGAUGGCGAAGGCAAUCCCAUGGGCCUGUAAUGACGCUAAUGAACGAAAGCGUGGGGAGCAAACA
rnacentral:rRNA from 1 species